rnacentral:rRNA from 1 species
AAUAGAUACCCAGGUAGUCCACGCCGUAGACGAUGAAUACUAGGUGUAGGGGUUGUCAUGACCUCUGUGCCGCCGCAAACGCAUUAAGUAUUCCGCCUGGGGAGUACGGUCGCAAGAUUAAAACUCAAAGGAAUUGACGGGGGCCCGCACAAGCAGCGGAGCAUGUGGUUUAAUUCGAAGCAACGCGAAGAACCUUACCUAGACUUGACAUCUCCUGAAUUACUCUUAAUCGAGGAAGUCCCUUCGGGGACAGGAAGACAGGUGGUGCAUGGUUGUCGUCAGCUCGUGUCGUGAGAUGUUGGGUUAAGUCCCGCAACGAGCGCAACCCUUAUUGUUAGUUGCUACCAUUAAGUUGAGCACUCUAGCAAGACUGCCCGGGUUAACCGGGAGGAAGGUGGGGAUGACGUCAAAUCAUCAUGCCCCUUAUGUCUAGGGCUACACACGUGCUACAAUGGCAAGUACAAAAGAUGCAAUACCGCAAGGUGGAGCUAAACUUAAAAACUUGUCUCAGUUCGGAUUGUAGGCUGAAACUCGCCUACAGU